UCGCAGCGCAGUGUCGUCAGCAGUAACAGCAGGACGGUAGCCGGGUGAGGCCUCGGGCUCCUCAGGGCGCGCUCUGCACCGCGGGCUCCGGCUUGCACGUGUAACCUCGUAGGCUCGGACAGCCAGACACCGGGGUGUGUACCCGGCAGAGCGCACGGUGAGCGCUCAGAAAUAUGCAUCCUUCACCGUGCGGCUGACCAGCUCCCUUCCGGUAUCAGCCCCCUCGCCCGCCAGUGACACAGGGACCCCCAGGCGCAGGUUCCACAGCAGGGCCUCGUUCCCCGCCUCUGGCGGGAGCCCCCGCUCCACCUGGCCGAGGGAACCUCCUUUGCUUGGUGGGUGUGGGUGCUUGAACCCUCCCCACUUUUGCACAGGAAUUAGGCAGACGUCUUCUCCCAGGUAACAAGCCUCGGACUUCAGUUCCACGUAAACCCGGGCGCCGUGGCCAGCCUAGCUUUGUCCGACCCUGGCUUCAGCAGCAGAGGAAGCAAAUGAGGCCCUCUUCUUAUCCUGGGGACCCAGAUCAAGUCCAGGCAGCCCGAUCACCCCAGGCAGUCGCCGUCUGGAUGAGAAGGUGCAGCUCUCAAGCUUCUGAAGCUGUCAAGAAACAUCUUAAAGAAGGACCAACUUCUUCAACAGGCACAGACAAGACCUUUGGAUUUAGAGAGUGUUUGCCCCAAAUGGUUGUCUCAGACCUCCCGGGAGUCCUCUGACUCCUUUCAGAGGAGACCUCUGUGGCCCCUGAUGAGUCGGGGGCUGCGACAUUUCCUCAUGCAGGCCACCGGCCUGGGGCUCCUUCAUCCUUAGUCACACUCCUCACAUGUGCUCUUCGGUGCUUUUCUUAUUAUUUUUAUUGCACACGUUGGUACAAAUUGUGAUCUUAAUAAAAUAUAUAUAAUCCAAGUUGGGAAAGGGAACUGCCAUGUAGACCAUAAAGGGAAUUAAUUAUGCCAGGGAAUUAAGGUACAGACCAUUUUCUUCUGAAUAUUAAAAGAACGUAUUUUCAAAACUUCAGUCAGUUCUUUCUUCCGUGGUAGCUGAAAGUCAAUAGUGUCGUUAAGUUAGCUGCACUUUCAUAUUUAUUGAGAAACCGACCAAAAGGGCCAGCAUCUGUUGGGUUGCCCUGCUGGGUCGUUCUCCAGCCGGGCCUCCUGAGCUAACAUUUGGCAUCUGCAGGGGGCAUCUGGGCAGGUGUCCUAGACAGAGGCUGGUCGGGAACUGGCCAGAAGCCAGCCCUGCCGCGUGUUUACCCCUAGAGUUGCCUGUCACACACAGGGAUGUGCUUCGGAGACCUUUUAGCAGGACAGGCCUGGGCUUUGUCCUGACAAGUUUAUCACUGGUUUUUAAGCCUGAGCCAACAGAGGUGUUCAUUAUGGGGUUCAGUACAUUGUUUCUGAAGGGCGGUAAUUCUAAAUUAGAUAAAAGAAAACUGUUUUUCUAAUGCAUCGAUUAUUUUUAAAAAUAAAGCAAAAGUAUUUCACAUGG